rnacentral:rRNA from 1 species
UAUCUACAGGCUUAACACAUGCAAGUCGAGGGGCAUCAGGAAGAAAGCUUGCUUUCUUUGCUGGCGACCGGCGCACGGGUGAGUAACACGUAUCCAACCUGCCCUUUACUCGGGGAUAGCCUUUCGAAAGAAAGAUUAAUACCCGAUAGCAUAAUGAUUCCGCAUGGUUUCAUUAUUAAAGGAUUCCGGUAAAGGAUGGGGAUGCGUUCCAUUAGGUUGUUGGUGAGGUAACGGCCCACCAAGCCUUCGAUGGAUAGGGGUUCUGAGAGGAAGGUCCCCCACAUUGGAACUGAGACACGGUCCAAACUCCUACGGGAGGCAGCAGUGAGGAAUAUUGGUCAAUGGGCGCUAGCCUGAACCAGCCAAGUAGCGUGAAGGAUGAAGGCUCUAUGGGUCGUAAACUUCUUUUAUAUAAGAAUAAAGUGCAGUAUGUAUACUGUUUUGUAUGUAUUAUAUGAAUAAGGAUCGGCUAACUCCGUGCCAGCAGCCGCGGUAAUACGGAGGAUCCGAGCGUUAUCCGGAUUUAUUGGGUUUAAAGGGAGCGUAGGUGGACUGGUAAGUCAGUUGUGAAAGUUUGCGGCUCAACCGUAAAAUUGCAGUUGAUACUGUCAGUCUUGAGUACAGUAGAGGUGGGCGGAAUUCGUGGUGUAGCGGUGAAAUGCUUAGAUAUCACGAAGAACUCCGAUUGCGAAGGCAGCUCACUGGACUGCAACUGACACUGAUGCUCGAAAGUGUGGGUAUCAAACAGGAUUAGAUACCCUGGUAGUCCACACAGUAAACGAUGAAUACUCGCUGUUUGCGAUAUACAGUAAGCGGCCAAGCGAAAGCAUUAAGUAUUCCACCAGGGGAGUACGCCGGCAACGGUGAAACUCAAAGGAAUUGACGGGGGCCCGCACAAGCGGAGGAACAUGUGGUUUAAUUCGAUGAUACGCGAGGAACCUUACCCGGGCUUAAAUUGCAGUGGAAUGAUGUGGAAACAUGUCAGUGAGCAAUCACCGCUGUGAAGGUGCUGCAUGGUUGUCGUCAGCUCGUGCCGUGAGGUGUCGGCUUAAGUGCCAUAACGAGCGCAACCCUUAUCUUUAGUUACUAACAGGUUAUGCUGAGGACUCUAGAGAGACUGCCGUCGUAAGAUGUGAGGAAGGUGGGGAUGACGUCAAAUCAGCACGGCCCUUACGUCCGGGGCUACACACGUGUUACAAUGGGGGGUACAGAAGGCAGCUAGCGGGUGACCGUAUGCUAAUCCCAAAAUCCUCUCUCAGUUCGGAUCGAAGUCUGCAACCCGACUUCGUGAAGCUGGAUUCGCUAGUAAUCGCGCAUCAGCCACGGCGCGGUGAAUACGUUCCCGGGCCUUGUACACACCGCCCGUCAAGCCAUGGGAGCCGGGGGUACCUGAAGUACGUAACCGCAAGGAUCGUCCUAGGGUAAAACUGGUGACUGGGGCUA